rnacentral:rRNA from 1 species
GACGAACGCUGGCGGCGUGCUUAACACAUGCAAGUCGAACGGAAAGGCCCUGCUUUUGUGGGGUGCUCGAGUGGCGAACGGGUGAGUAACACGUGAGUAACCUGCCCUUGACUUUGGGAUAACUUCAGGAAACUGGGGCUAAUACCGGAUAGGAGCUCCUGCUGCAUGGUGGGGGUUGGAAAGUUUCGGCGGUGUGGGAUGGACUCGCGGCUUAUCAGCUUGUUGGUGGGGUAGGGGCUUACCAAGGCUUUGACGGGUAGCCGGCCUGAGAGAGUGACCGGCCCCAUUGGGAAUGAGAUACGGCCCGAACUCCUAAGGGGGGCAGGAGUGGGGAGUAUGGCGGAAUGGGGGGAGGCCUAAUGCAGCAACGCCGGGUGCGGGAUGACGGCCGUCGGGGUGUAAACCGCUUUCGCCUGUGACGAAGCGUGAGUGACGGUAAUGGGUAAAGAAGCACCGGGUAACUACGUG